AUAAAAAAAGCCCUGCGAAUCGGAAUUCGCAGGGUCCUUCUAUAUUCCUCCAAGCGUUGGAGGGCAGAAGGCAAAGGGAGAGGAGAAACCGGAGGAAGAACUUAUGGGGAAACGUAAGUCUUCUCCGCG
rnacentral:ncRNA from 1 species